UGAGGCACAAAUUCAGGACUU
rnacentral:siRNA from 1 species